UGCCAGAAUUCCUGGAUGCCAGCAAUCC
rnacentral:piRNA from 1 species